UUUGAUCCUGGCUCAGAUUGAACGCUGGCGGCAGGCCUAACACAUGCAAGUCGAGCGGUAACAUUUCUAGCUUGCUAGAAGAUGACGAGCGGCGGACGGGUGAGUAAUGCUUGGGAACAUGCCUUGAGGUGGGGGACAACAGUUGGAAACGACUGCUAAUACCGCAUAAUGUCUACGGACCAAAGGGGGCUUCGGCUCUCGCCUUUAGAUUGGCCCAAGUGGGAUUAGCUAGUUGGUGAGGUAAUGGCUCACCAAGGCGACGAUCCCUAGCUGGUUUGAGAGGAUGAUCAGCCACACUGGGACUGAGACACGGCCCAGACUCCUACGGGAGGCAGCAGUGGGGAAUAUUGCACAAUGGGCGAAAGCCUGAUGCAGCCAUGCCGCGUGUGUGAAGAAGGCCUUCGGGUUGUAAAGCACUUUCAGUCAGGAGGAAAGGUUAGUAGUUAAUACC
rnacentral:rRNA from 4 species